rnacentral:rRNA from 1 species
GAUUAACGCUGGCGGCGUGCAUAACACAUUCAAGUCGAACGGUGAAGGGACUUCGGUCCCGGAUCAGUGGCGGACGGGUGAGUAACGCGUGAGCAACCUGCCCUUGUGUGGGGGAUAACGUUUGGAAACGGACGCUAAUACCGCAUAACCCAAUAGUACGGCAUCGUACAGUUGGCAAAGAUUUAUUGCACAAGGAUGGGCUCGCGUCUGAUUAGGUAGUUGGUGGGGUAACGGCCUACCAAGCCGACGAUCAGUAGCCGGACUGAGAGGUUGAACGGCCACAUUGGAACUGAGAUACGGUCCAGACUCCUACGGGAGGCAGCAGUGGGGAAUAUUGGGCAAUGGGGGAAACCCUGACCCAGCGACGCCGCGUGAGGGAAGAAGGUCUUCGGAUUGUAAACCUUAAACAACAGGGACGAAGAAAGUGACGGUACCUGUUAGGAAGCCACGGCUAACUACGUGCCAGCCGCCGCUGUAAAAC